ensembl:lncRNA
CUCAAGAUGAGAUGGUCCUGGAUUGGGAGGGGGGGUGCCCAGAUCCAAUGAUGGGUGUCCUCAUGGGAACUGGGGAUGACGCGGAGAUACAGAGGGAGCCAAGGUGGGGAUGGCGGCAGAGACGGGAGCCGUGGGUCUGCAUGCCCAGGAAUGCCUAGGGUCGCCGGCCAGCCCCGGAAGCUGGACGAGGCAGGGACAGGUGUAAGACCUCCGGGAGCCCGGCCAGCUCCCAGCGGUUCCGGACUUCUGCUCACAGCUGGGAGAGAACCGAUUCCUGGUGUUUCUGAGCCGCUCGGUGUCAAUUUCCCAUCCAUGGGGUGGAAAUGCUGCGUUCCCGCCCUGCCUGACAACACAAAGCUGCUGGGCGCUGUGAAAAGCCGCUACGUGCGAGGCUGGCGACAACUGUGCACGCAGAGUCUCCGUCAGAUCAUCGCCGACCUGACUCAGCAGAGCAGAGAAGGCACUUCACACACAGCCUUUUUCGUUCUGCGACAGUCUGUUCAUUCCGGUGGUGGCUGGCUUUGAACGGUGCUUGAGGACCCCUGCUGGUCCGGGAUCUGAGAUCCUAGAUGGAAACGCUCACGGGUGUUUAUCCUCGGGCAGUUUUGCUGAAGCACUUGAAACCAAAAGGCAAAGACUGUCUUACAAGUGUUCUGAGGCCGUCAUAACAACUUCCCACACGCUGGGGGCUUAAACCAUCACAAAUUCAUCCUGCCUCAGUUUUAGAGAGCAGACGUCUGGGGUCGGGGAAUCCUGGGGCCGUGGUGCCUUUGGAGACUCCACGGGAGGGUCAUUCCCGCAUCUUCCAGCCUCUGGGGGCUGCAGCUAUCCCGGGCUUAUGGCUGCAUCCCGCCAGCCUCUUUCUCUGUCUUCACACGGCCUCCUCCCCUCCCUGUGGGCCUGUGUCUUCUCCCCUGCCUCUUGUGAGGAUGCCAGUCAUUGCUUUUAGGGCCCACUCAGGUGGUGCAGUGGAGAAGGCAAUGGCACCCCACUCCAGUGCUCUUGCCUGGAAAAUCCCAUGGAUGGAGGAGCCUGGUGGGCUGCAGUCCAUGGGGUCACUAAGAGUCGGACACGACUGAGCGACUUCACUUUCACUUUUCACUCUCAUGCAUUGGAGAAGAAAAUGGCAACCCACUCCAGUGUUCUUGCCUUGAGAAUCCCAGGGACGGGGAGCCUGGUGGGCUGCCGUCUAUGGGGUCGCACAGAGUCGGACACGACUGAAGCAACUUAGCAGCAGCAGCAGCAGCAGGUGGUGCAGUGGUAAAGAAUCUGCCUGCCAGUGCGAGAGACGCCAAAGAGGCAGGUUAGAUCCCUGGGUCGGGAAAAG